AAAAACACCAUCUCCAAGGUGAAAGAUUAACUACCUAUGGCGAGGCGAAAGAGCUUGCAGUGAUCAGUUGUUCAAUAAUUGUGGUUGGGUUCGGUCGAGCAUAUCGAUUACCGUUUGUACAGUCGACUGCUAGCUGGACAGCCACAUUCAGCGAUGCCAUAUUAGGGGGGGCAUCCAUAUUUGCAUCGACAUACAUUUGACGAAAAUUGUUACGUGGUAUAUU
rnacentral:lncRNA from 1 species